ACCCUGUGUACCUGACGGGGAGGAACAGAUGGGAGCCUUUCGCCGCAAGGGCUGCACAGGAGGACUGUGGAAAUGUAGAGCUGUGUACACGGACAGUUAAAGGGAAGAUAACACUGUGCCUCCUAACGGACCUUUCUAGCUUUAAAAAACCCACUCCUGCUCUCUUCUCCAUGUCUUCCCAAACCAACAGUCUUAGGGAUCGCUUUAAAAAGGGUAUGCAAGAGGUGUAAUCUAUACGCAAAUGCUAUGGUUGGAAAGGUCACAUAUAUACCUUCAGCAUGCUGUGAGGGAACCUGAUACGUUACAGCACUGACAUCUCAUUUGUCACCUCCCGACUUGAGGGUCAUUUCUGUCCUUUUCCCCUCCUGCCCAGGGUGUCGCAAGGAAGCCCGAGGAGUGUUACUGAGCCUUAGCUCACCGCUUUGGGUGGCAGUGGGUUUCUCUCUCUUUGUGUGGAUGUGAUGGCAGUUGGUCUGUUUCAGCAGAAAAGAAUGUAAAUGCUGUUGGGUUUGUUGGUUUUUUUUUAUCUUUUUUUUUCUUUCUUUUUUUUUUUAAGAGAUGUAACAAAUAUCUGUGCAGCACCGUGCAAACUGCAUCUGUUUUUAAGUCUAUAGCCAAGAGUCAGAAUGCCCCUCCUUACCUUUCAGGCUGCUAAACCCCGACUACUGUUUUUUUUCUUUCCUAGGUAUUUCAAGAUCAGAUUCUUUUCUUUUUCUUUUUUUCUUUUUUUUCCCUUUGGCCAUAGCCUUAAAGUGACCUUUUUCAUAGUCUUAAACUAAACUGCAGUUGCAGAAAGCCAGAACCCUUUUUCAUCAUAAAUGAAUCAAUGCCUGAUACAGAAAGGAACUGUGGAAGCCAUUUGAACUGAUAAAGCUGACCGCAGUUUACCUCCUGGCCCAUUAAAGAAAAUGACACUACGUAGAUGAAUUCUAGGUUGUAUUGGCGCAAACUCCACAGGCAAUAUUUUUUCCUCCACUACAGCAAAAUGAGUAUGAAGUGGUAACGUUCCAUGGCUGAAAACUUGAAAAUGGAAUGGAAAUCUUUACACAGGGCCUGAUUCAAUAAG
rnacentral:lncRNA from 1 species